AGGAGAGUCUUCAGGUUACAAGA
rnacentral:siRNA from 1 species